rnacentral:rRNA from 1 species
UACGUAGGGUGCGAGCGUUGUCCGGAAUUAUUGGGCGUAAAGGGCUCGUAGGCGGUCUGUCACGUCGGGAGUGAAAACUCAGGGCUUAACCCUGAGCCUGCUUCCGAUACGGGCUGACUAGAGGUAUGCAGGGGAGAACGGAAUUCCUGGUGUAGCGGUGAAAUGCGCAGAUAUCAGGAGGAACACCGGUGGCGAAGGCGGUUCUCUGGGCAUUACCUGACGCUGAGGAGCGAAAGCUAGGGGAGCGAACGGG